GACGAACGCUGGCGGCGUGCUUAACACAUGCAAGUCGAGCGGUAAGGCCCUUUCGGGGGUACACGAGCGGCGAACGGGUGAGUAACACGUGGGUGACCUGUCCCUCAGCUCUGGGAUAAGCCUGGGAAACCGGGUCUAAUACUGGAUAUGACUCCAUGACGCAUGUUGUGGGGUGGAAAGCCUUGUGCGGCUGAGGAUGGGCCCGCGGCCUAUCAGCUUGUUGGUGGGGNGAUGGCCUACCAAGGCGACGACGGGUAGCCGGCCUGAGAGGGCGACGGCCACACUGGGACUGAGACACGGCCCAGACUCCUACGGGAGGCAGCAGUGGGGAAUCUUGCGCAAUGGGCGAAAGCCUGACGCAGCGACGCCG
rnacentral:rRNA from 1 species